UACGUAGGUGGCAAGCGUUGUCCGGAUUUACUGGGCGUAAAGAGCUCGUAGGCGGUUCGGCAAGUCACGUGUGAAAUCUCCACGCUUAACGUGGAGGCGCCACGUGAAACUGCCGUGACUCGAGUCCGGUAGGGGAGUGUGGAAUUCCCGGUGUAGCGGUGAAAUGCGCAGAUAUCGGGAGGAACACCAGUAGCGAAGGCGGCACUCUGGGCCGGUACUGACGCUGAGGAGCGAAAGCGUGGGGAGCGAACAGG
rnacentral:rRNA from 1 species